AUUGAACGCUGGCGGCAGGCUUAACACAUGCAAGUCGAACGAGCGGCGGACGGGUGAGUAAUGCCUAGGAAUCUGCCUGGUAGUGGGGGAUAACGUCCGGAAACGGGCGCUAAUACCGCAUACCAUAGGAUGAGCCCAAGUGGGAUUAGGUAGUUGGUGGGGUAAUGGCCUACCAAGCCGACGAUCUCUAGCUGGUCUGAGAGGAUGACCAGCCACACCGGGACGGAGACACGGCCCAGACUCCUACGGGAGGCAGCAGUGGGGAAUAUUGCGCAAUGGGGGCAACCUGACGCAGCCAUGCCGCGUGAAUGAAGAAGGCCUUCGGGUUGUAAAGUUCUUUCGGUGACGAGGCGUUAAUCACAGAAGAAGCACCGGCUAACUCCGUGCCAGCAGCCGCGGUAAUUC
rnacentral:rRNA from 1 species